rnacentral:rRNA from 1 species
CAAGGAAUAUUGCACAAUGGGGGGAACCCUGAUGCAGCAACGCCGCGUGGGCGAUGAAGGCCUUCGGGUUGUAAAGCCCUUUUCUAAAGGAAGAGACAAGGACGGUACUUUAGGAAUAAGUCUCGGCUAACUACGUGCCAGCAGCCGCGGUAAAACGUAGGAGACGAGCGUUAUCCGGAUUUACUGGGCGUAAAGGGCAAGUAGGCGGUGGACAAAGUUGGACGUGACAUCUCUCGGCUUAACUGGGAGGGGUCGUCCAAAACUAGUCGACUAGAGGGCAGGAGAGGGGAGUGGAAUUCCUAGUGUAGCGGUGGAAUGCUUAGAGAUUAGGAAGAACACCAGUGGCGAAGGCGACUCUCUGGCCUGACCCUGACGCUGAGAGGCGAAAGCUAGGGGAGCGAACGGG